rnacentral:rRNA from 1 species
UACGUAGGGUGCAAGCGUUGUCCGGAAUUAUUGGGCGUAAAGAGCUCGUAGGCGGUUCGUCGCGUCGGCUGUGAAAACCCGGAGCUCAACUCCGGGCCUGCAGUCGAUACGGGCAGACUGGAGUUCGGCAGGGGAGACUGGAAUUCCUGGUGUAGCGGUGAAAUGCGCAGAUAUCAGGAGGAACACCGGUGGCGAAGGCGGGUCUCUGGGCCGAUACUGACGCUGAGGAGCGAAAGCGUGGGGAGCGAACAGG